CCAUGGCUUUGUAGAUCCUCCCAAAUGAGGUCUUCAUCGUCCUCAUCCAAGAUACACUUAGAGUUUUGUUGUAAUCGAUCAAUCUCUGAACACAGAGUUUGCAGAAGCUCUUUUCCUCUUGAACUUUUUUCGGUUAUCCGUAGUGGGCUGAUUGAUGAUGUUAUGGAUGGUUGCUUCGUACACCCGUCUGCAGCAAACCUGCGAGCUAAGAUCUCGUUGAUGGUGUCAAAUACAAGCUUCCUCUUGCUUCUCUCUAUCAGGUUCGCUGUUUGUUGUUGUCCGAAGCCUCUGCCUUUGUGCUUGUUGUCAUGUGGACUCACAUUGCUUGUCUUGUUUUGUUCCAGUACAAAGAAAAGGCUCGGAUUGAUAGGUAGGUGUGCUUGGUGCAGCUGAAUGCUUAUCAUGCUGUAGUCGAUAUCUCUUAGGAGCCCCGAUGCCAACAGUAUCUCUGCGAU
rnacentral:lncRNA from 1 species